CGACGAGCAUUUACAUUCAAGCACUUACAGAGACUUAAAUGCUCGCAACAACGGUGGUACGACAGCAAGUGAACUCCAACAUACCGAGCAUCCGCGCAAAUCAGUCUCUCUCUCUCAAUACCAUUUAACGUCUCUUCGCUAAGGUAGCGAGUAGAGACAACCAAGAGCCAGCCAAACUACACCCCUCCCGUCCCCCCCCUGGUGUAGUUUGGGGUGGGGCGAGCGACAAGACCACACAACCAACCACCCUAGAGGUAACGCCCUGAGACCCCGGCGACUAAAGUAAAUCGUCCUAGCAAUCGCAAGACCGCUAAGGCGAGAAGCAGGCACUCAGUUGCGGGGCCGCACAUUGCGGUCGUGACGAUGAGGAUCAAGGUAUCGCUCCAGCACAGCCGGAGUCCGAAGCUGACUGAACUCCAUCAGGGCGGGAACUCCCGCACCGGCCGACGCAGCGGCCUGCAGGGCACCCCGGCGGAAACUGUGCACAGUUUCCCCGUCGUACAACUGAGCAGCCCACAGGUGUAGCCGUAACCGCGCGGCAAGAGUGGCGCUCUGCAGCGCUUCCGCCUUGAAAGCCCGCUGGUCCGCCGUCAGCGGGCGAAACAGCGUGUCUUGGACAGUGCUCCCAGGAGGGGCACCAGGCUGGGCGCAAGACCACAUGUAAAAAGCCAGAGUACGCGGGAUGCAGAAAGGGGGGUCCUCACUGUUGGGCCGCAGCAGCACCGCGGGGCCACGCACCAGCCGAUAGGUCUUAGUCCCCCGCUGACGGAAGCAGAGGGUAGGACAUCCACCAGGGCCCCAAGACCAUGGCGGAGGUAGCGGGAACCCAGAGUACGGUCGGUCAGGCUGCGAAGGUUCGACGAAGUCACCCACCCCCAGCUUCCCGAUAUCGUGACCCCUCUGGGCAGUCUGCCACAGGAGAAGCACGCACAACAGGUCCCGCAGGAAGACCAGUCGGGGCAAAGCUUCGUCAGUCACCACCACUUGCGACCACAAGUAGCCCACGAGAGCACGGUACUUGUCAUAAGACAAAGGUACUGCCGAAACCUCGGUGUAACCCCCGGCGACCUGGGACCGCUGAUACGACGCGCGGAAAUCCUCAACCCAGAUGCAAUCGCAAGGGUUGCCUUGGCCGGUGGAGACGUCGAAUCGACCACCCCGGCCCACACGGCUGAAGAAACCACUCAGGCAGGACAGGUGGGACUUAACGGCGGCAGGCCCUACGGGGCCGCCACUUCGGCCCUGAUGCCGGGGCAGCCACCAAACCGUCAUAUAGACGAGCACGUCGUCUGGCGUACAAUUCCACCAGUCCCGACCACGACCAUGGCUGGAAAGCCAACUCAGGAACUCGGUGACGGCACCAUCCUGGCGGGACACCGUAGAAGAGGCUAGGGCACCAAGGAGCAUCUGGUUGGCCGCGGCCAGACCCCGCUGGUAAGACGCUUCUUGAUCCGCGGCUGAAAUGAGGGGCGAAGGGCGGAGCCGAGCGAUAACCUGGUCUAGGCGACCGCGAGCCACACCCAAGGGGGCAGGUGCCUGCAGUCCGAGAGAAUCGCUUAGGAGAGCGCUAGAGCAGGGUCAGCAGCCAAAGGACUUCUCUACCAACCUGGGCAGGAACGCCCAGCGGGAAAGGCCGGCUAACGGGGGGCCCAGCGGAUCCGGCGGCGGCGCCGGUGACAACCCCAGGGCCAAGAAAGAACUCCUACGGCAGGCGAGACACGAUAAUCAGCCAACAUUGCACACAGAACAGGGGGCAGCAAACGGAUAACCCACAGAAGGCGCCAAAGGUGGAGACUCGAGAGAGGGAGCCGACAAUCCAACCAAGGAAAGCGGACCCCCCGGAAGGCCGAGGCCGCCAGUGCGAAGAGGGACCUGCGGGGAGACGGGCCCGUCUAUCGCAAGCGCAAAGGACAACACAAUAGCUCGGCGACACCUCACCACACCACGUAAGCCCCAUCCAGGAACAAAGGAAGGCUGCGCGGAGCUAGUCGCGUCAGUGCCAAGAAAGGCUAAGCCAUCGACCUGGGCACGACAGCGGUACGGAAACGCAUCAGAAUGAUCGCACAUUCAGGAAAACCGGGAAUCAGUGGUUUACAUCUAAGUAAUCUAAACCUAAGGAGAAGGAGAUCAGUCGCGAUGCAAGUAGGCAGAUGAACAGGGCGUAAAUCGCCCACGCACAUGGAGACCGGGGAUCCUCANNNNNNNNNNNNNNNNNNNNNNNNNNNNNNNNNNNNNNNNNNNNNNNNNNNNNNNNNNNNNNNNNNNNNNNNNNNNNNNNNNNUUUGGCCGCGCUGGGGAGAGCUAGGCUGGCAACGUUACCCAUAAAAGCGCGGAGGCGUUUGCCGCACAUCCUCACCCCUUUCAGGCCGAGUUACGCGACCGAGGUAGUGUUCAUUUUGAGGUAAGGCAGGGCCGACUAGGCGCGAGAGUACGACAGGGAAGAUAGCGAAAGCGAGGAUCCAAGGAAGCCCGGAGACAUGACAAGGCUGAGACUUGCAGACGAGCCGCAAGGCGGUGUGGCUGGGAGGUGGUGUGGCCUGAUUAAACAUUGGGAUCGGGUGUAAGGCUGGACGCAAAGGCCCACUUCACGCUAGUCCGGUACGGAGCGACGAGCAUUUACAUUCAAGCACUUACAGAGACUUAAAUGCUCGCAACAACGGUGGUACGACAGCAAGUGAACUCCAACAUACCGAGCAUCCGCGCAAAUCAGUCUCUCUCUCUCAAUACCAUUUAACGUCUCUUCGCUAAGGUAGCGAGUAGAGACAACCAAGAGCCAGCCAAACUACACCCCUCCCGUCCCCCCCCUGGUGUAGUUUGGGGUGGGGCGAGCGACAAGACCACACAACCAACCACCCUAGAGGUAACGCCCUGAGACCCCGGCGACUAAAGUAAAUCGUCCUAGCAAUCGCAAGACCGCUAAGGCGAGAAGCAGGCACUCAGUUGCGGGGCCGCACAUUGCGGUCGUGACGAUGAGGAUCAAGGUAUCGCUCCAGCACAGCCGGAGUCCGAAGCUGACUGAACUCCAUCAGGGCGGGAACUCCCGCACCGGCCGACGCAGCGGCCUGCAGGGCACCCCGGCGGAAACUGUGCACAGUUUCCCCGUCGUACAACUGAGCAGCCCACAGGUGUAGCCGUAACCGCGCGGCAAGAGUGGCGCUCUGCAGCGCUUCCGCCUUGAAAGCCCGCUGGUCCGCCGUCAGCGGGCGAAACAGCGUGUCUUGGACAGUGCUCCCAGGAGGGGCACCAGGCUGGGCGCAAGACCACAUGUAAAAAGCCAGAGUACGCGGGAUGCAGAAAGGGGGGUCCUCACUGUUGGGCCGCAGCAGCACCGCGGGGCCACGCACCAGCCGAUAGGUCUUAGUCCCCCGCUGACGGAAGCAGAGGGUAGGACAUCCACCAGGGCCCCAAGACCAUGGCGGAGGUAGCGGGAACCCAGAGUACGGUCGGUCAGGCUGCGAAGGUUCGACGAAGUCACCCACCCCCAGCUUCCCGAUAUCGUGACCCCUCUGGGCAGUCUGCCACAGGAGAAGCACGCACAACAGGUCCCGCAGGAAGACCAGUCGGGGCAAAGCUUCGUCAGUCACCACCACUUGCGACCACAAGUAGCCCACGAGAGCACGGUACUUGUCAUAAGACAAAGGUACUGCCGAAACCUCGGUGUAACCCCCGGCGACCUGGGACCGCUGAUAC
rnacentral:lncRNA from 1 species